AUGAAAACAAGCAGAAAUCAAGAUGUAAUAUUUUUAUAAUUUUAUUGAUGUUAAAUUAAAGUUCCAGCUUAGUUAUGUUAUCAGUGCAAGUCACUUCAAUCUGUAUAGCACCAAAGGAAACAAUGGUGUUUUCAAGGUGCUUCACACUGUAAGGUAACAACUUACAGUAUUAAAAAGAAAACCCCAAAAGAACAAACCCCUCUGAGCAAGCACGAGGCGACAGUGGGAAGGAAAAACUCCCUUUUAAGAGGAAGAAACCUUCGACAGAACCAGGCUCAGGGCGGGGUGGCCAUCUGCCGCGACCAUUCCUGGGGAUUUCAAAAAUGACUUGAUCUGAUCUAAAUGUAAAACUAGCUCAUUUAAAGUGUCCAGUGAGUUUUAGAAAAUAUUUUGCUGUUGAUAUCACGAUGUCACUAUAAAGUGGAAACUUUGUUUCUUCCCUUACACCUCCCAAAAAAUGCACGCACCGAUGAGAAGCACUUAGAUAUGCAACUUGGUUCUGGGAAUAUCUUUCUUUUGAAAGUUUUAACAAUAUCUUCAUCAAGAUCUUGGAAGUUGAAUUGCAAGAUUGUCACCAUAACCGCUGCAUGCUUCCAUCUUUUACAGAGGGAUUUGAAAACCCUCUCGCUGAGUUUCUUGAACUUCUCUGGUGGGAUUUUGUCGUAUCUGGCCCUGAUUUCAGUCCAGAUUUUCAUGUGUGUCUUUUGUCCCCUUUUUCGUCUCCUCAUCCCCAAAGGGUCGCAGCGGGCUGCCCCUCCCUGACCGUGGUUCUGCCAGAGGGUGCUUCCUGUUAAAAGAAAUAGUCAGGACCCAGAUGAACCUGUGCUGGAAUUCAGUGUGGGCUUUCUACUUACAGGGUGGUGGGUCUCAGAGGACAAUUGCUACCCCUGUUGAAGUGAACAACGUGUGGAGUGCAACUGGC
ensembl:lncRNA